rnacentral:lncRNA from 10 species
GUUUUGUUGCUGAUGCUCGUAAUGCUGGUGAUGAGGUGGAGGGAGAAGGCGUAGAGAGGUAAACAGGUGGCAAAGCUUAUGUGCCAUUCUAUGGCUUUGAUUUUUUUUCACUCAGAGCUCUGGGGAGUCAUUAAAGCUUUCUGAGCUGGAGAAUGGCAUAAUCAGAUUUGAAUUUGUAAGAGCUCAUUCUGGCAGUGGUGUAGAAAGGGCUAGACUGUAGACAGGGAGAUUGGUUGGAAAGCAAUUUAAUGAAUUGAAGCCAUUGGGAAGGAAAAUUAAAGGAAAGGGUGAGGUUGCAGAAAUAUUCAGGCCUUUUUUAUUUUUAAUUUUUAUGGAUACAUAAUAGUUGUACAAUUUUAAAAUAUAAAAUAAAUAUAUUUCUAUAGCAAAAAAGGAGAAAUAUUUAGUUCUAAAGAUUAUUUUAUUUUUCCAAAGCGGAUUCUAAAAAGACUUGCUUCUUUACGGCCAUCACCUACAGGGAGGAAUUUUUUCUUCUCCUCAUCAAGUGGUCUACAGGAACUCACAGCAAGGAAAUAAUAUUCAGAGAUAUGAAUCACGUGCACGGUGGUUCAUGCCUGUGAUCCUAGUGCUUUGGAAGGAGGAAAGAUUGCUUGACACCAAGAGUUGAGAUCACUUUGAACAACAUAGCAGAACUUUGUCUCUACCAAAAUGUACUUUUUCCAUAUCUGAGUUUGGUAGCAUGCACCUGUAAUAAUCUUGGCUACUUGGCAGACUGAGGUGAGAGAAUGGUUUGAGCUUGAGGUUGCAGUGAGCUAGAUUAUGCAACAGCCUGGGUGACAGAAUGAGACCUUACUAUAUCAUCUACUAUAAUAAAUGAGAUACAUUAUAUAUAUGCAUAAUUUACAUAUUUGAUUAUAUCAUAAAUUUACUAUAUUUAAUUGUAUAGCAUUUAUUAUAUUUAGCUUCUGCUAUGGACUUAUUAUUUAUGUUUGCCCCAAAAAGUCAUAUGUUGAAGCCCUAACCUCCACUGUGACUGUAUUUGGAGAUGGCACCUUUACAGAAGUAAUUAAAGUUAAAUCAUGUUCCUAAGAAGAGACACCAGAGAGCUUACUCUCUCUCUCUUUCUCUCUCAUCUCUCUGAGUACACACACCAGAGAACGACCAUGUGAGCACACAGGAAGAUGACCACCUUUUGCAAGCCAAAAAGAAAGCGCUCACAAGCAACCAAAUAGGCCAGCACCCUGAUUUUGGACUUCCCAGCUUCAAGAAGUGAGAGUAAUAAGUUUGUAUUCUUUAAGUCAUCCAGGUUACAAGCAGACUAAAGCAGCUUCUUCCACUUGUUCAAAAUUCUACAUUUUAAAUUUUUAUAAUGUGUUUUGGUUGUUUUAAGUACAACUUUGCAGUAUUUCUUAUCUUUGGUGGCAUUUUCAGAAUACCAAAUAAAAGCAGGUUGAACAAUAAAGACAUUUAUUUUCUCAGUAAAAAAAGUGACAAGUUCAGCAGUGUCAGUUCCAAUCUUCAUCCAGUGGCUCAGCGACAUAAUCAAGGACUGUCUCUUCUCAUUUUUCCCUGUCCACUGUCCUCAGAAGAUUGUAGAACCUCAUAAUUGAAAGACGGCCAUUGCACUUUCUAUGAUCAAAAGUUCUUAUCAGAUAUCACUGAAAGCAGAAAGGAUAAGAUCAGAAGGAAAAAUUGUCUUUGGUGGUGGUAAAUUAAAUAACCAAGAGACCAUUAGUCCGACUCUGUCUCCAUACUUUGAGUUCACACAUAACAAACCACAACCUAACAUAGUAUGUAAACCAAAACUGAACUUAGAAGUACAUUUUUUUGGUAACCAAUAAUCAGGUUUCAUCCAGUCACAAAUAGCACAGUUUCAGCCAGUCACAGGCAGCCAACUAAUCAAACCAUGUUGAAAUAAGGAAAAUACCUCAUCAUAGCAUACCCAAAUAAGACAGAUGCUUAGCUUUCCUGCUAAUCAGGAAACUUUCCUAUUUUGCUUCCAUGUUCAGCCUAUAAAAGCUUGCUGCUCUCACUGCUAGGUGAGCUCUCUGAACUUCUUCUGGCUCUGAGUGCUGCCCAAUUCAUGAAUUAUUAUUUUUCACUCAAAUAAACUCUGUAAAAUUUAAUUUUUCUGAAGUUCUUUUUUUUGGACACUGGUUAUAAAUUGAGUCACAUCCCCACCUAAAUAAGACAAUUAUUGAUGAAUGGGAAUGGAAUUACCAUGAUUGUUUAACUAAUAAUUAUGUAUACCCUAGGUCUUGGUCCACUGCCAAAAAUAGUGUUCUAUUGAUUAAGAACAAAAUCGAGGAUCAGCCUAUAUCAUUAUUUGAAGUGUAAUCUAAUAUGAUGUCACAUUAUCAAAUCUCCUUCACUGUCAAGAUGGUUGCCAACUCAAUAAUAUCAGCACUUCAACAAAUAUGACUUAGACUCAGAUGGGAGUUAAAGCCAAGGGAGGUUUUUCAUAUGGUUGAAUAAUGGAAAUUUUGUGAGAAUGCUCCAAACAUCUAGUUUCUGUUCCCACCAAUCUGACUGGGGAACAGGCAUCCUGCAGUGGCUGUAAUCCAGAUCCUCCCCUUUAGGAUUGAGGCACAUUCCCCAGCUGCCAGGAAUGUUUGUUCAAAAUGGUAAUUAUAUGGCACCAUAUUUCUUCUCAUAGUUUCUCUGUAAAUUUCCUCAUUUCUGAAUUAUUAAAAAAUUAAGGUCCUGUUCUUGCUACCAUAUCAGAGUAAAACAAAUAAAUAUUUUUCUGUUGGCAAGAGGUAACUUUUCUAAAACAAAAAUAGUUAAUGUUCCAUCCUGGCCAGCAUGGUGAAACCCUGUCUCUACUAAAAAUACAAAAAUUAGUGUGGCAUGGUGGUGUUCACCUGUGGUGCUAGCUACUCAGGAGGCUGAGGCAGGAGAAUCUCUUGAACCUGGGAGGCGGAGGUUGCAGUGAGCCGAGAUCGUGCCACUGUACUCCAGCCUGACAACAAAGCGAGAUUCUGUCAAAAAAAAAAUAGUUAAUAUCUUAGGUAGUUUGGUUUUAUUAUGUAAACUGUCACCCCAACAAUCAUGUCUUUUAUAUCUAUAAAUGCUUCAUGGAAAUCAGAGACAGAUGGCUAAGGUCUAAAUAUGGCAAUAUCUAGCAUACGAAAACAGCCAUGGAAGAUGAGUUAGGAAGAAUAAUGGUCCUUCAAAUACAUCCACAUUCUUAUAUGCUGAGCCUGAUAUAAAAGAUUAUAUUUAUAUGAUAUUUAUAUGUUAUAUAAUUAACAAAUGUUUACGAUGUUACAAAACAUAAUAACAUUUAUUCUGUCUGCUACCUUAAUCACUCUUUACUUUCCAUGGCAAAGAAUGAUUAACGUAGCAGAUAGAAUAAAUGUUGCUAAAUUAGCUGCCCUUAAAAUUGAUUGUCUGGGCAGACUUGAUGCGAUGACAAUGCUCAUUUAAAGUGGAAAAAGGAGGCUGAGUAGGACAUCAUAGUGAUACAAUAUGAAAAGAUCUCAACCCUCUUUAUCCGGCUUUGAAGAUGGAGAAAGGGAACAAAGAGCCAAGGAAGGUGGGUUGUCUCUAGAAGCUGAAAACUGCAAGAAACUGUCUCUUCUCUGGAGCCUCCAGAAAAGAAUGCAGCCCUGCCUACACCUUUAUUUCAGCCCUGUGAGACAUUUGACCCCCA